AUUGAACGCUGGCGGCAGGCCUAACACAUGCAAGUCGAGCGAGCGGCGGACGGGUGAGUAAUGUCUGGGAAACUGCCUGAUGGAGGGGGAUAACUAAUGGAAACGGUAGCUAAUACCGCAUACCAUCAGAUGGGCCCAGAUGUGAUUAGCUAGUAGGUGGGGUAACGGCUCACCUAGGCGAUGAUCCCUAGCUGGUCUGAGAGGAUGACCAGCCACAAGGUAACUGAGACACGGUCCCGACGCCUACGGGAGGCAGCAGUGGGUACUAUUGCACAAUUGGGGCAAGCCUGAUGCAGCCAUGCCGCGUGUAUGAAGAGGGCCUUCGGGUGGUAAGGUACUUUCAGCGGGAAGGCGUUACCCGCAGAAGAAGCACCGGCUAACUCCGUACCAGCAGCCGCGGUAAUAC
rnacentral:rRNA from 1 species